UGGGGAAUAUUGCACAAUGGGGGAAACCCUGAUGCAGCGACGCCGCGUGAGCGAAGAAGGCUUUCGAGUCGUAAAGCUCUGUCCUAUGAGAAGAUAAUGACGGUAUCAUAGGAGGAAGCCCUGGCUAAAUACGUGCCAGCAGCCGCGGUAAUACGUAUGGGGCGAGCGGUGUCCGGAAUUAUGGGGCGUAAAGGGUACGUAGGUGGUUUUUUAAGUCAGGUGUCAAAGCGUGGAGCUUAACUCCAUUAAGCACUUGAAACUGAAAGACUUGAGUGAAGGAGAGGAAAGUGGAAUUCCUAGUGUAGCGGUGAAAUGCGUAGAUAUUAGGAGGAAUACCGGUGGCGAAGGCGACUUUCUGGACUUUUACUGACGCUCAGGUACGAAAGCGUGGGGAGCAAACAGG
rnacentral:rRNA from 1 species